ACCUGCAGAAUGCAUGCAAGCACUGGAAUGCAAGCUCCCUCCUCUAAGUGCUGGAGCAAAACCUUAAAAUGGAGCUCGGACAACAGCCAGCAUCGUUCAGGCUAGGCGGCGUUCAGCGAACACUUCCCGAGGCCUCGAGCCUGUGCAGCGCAGCCACUCACAGACCGCCCCUUGCCCAGCAGCCGUACACGUCCUGGUGACUCACGAGCUGGUUAUGGCUCACGGAAUUAAAUUAAACCCGGGGGCGGCUCGGCGUUGGGAUCUCAAGUUUUUAGGACCCGACAGCGCCGGGGAACGAACGCGCGGCGGCAGGCUCCAGACGCCAGGGCGGAAGCUCCACCACAGAGCUUCGCUCCCCAGUGGCCCAGCCUCGGGUGGGGGGGGGCCCGGGCAGGUUUCGCUUCUGGCGGCUGUGACAGCAGGGAGCCACCCACUGUGUCCUUGGGAAUGUUGGCGGCGUUGGCAGAACGCAAAGGUUGCGCAGACAGCGCAAAAACGGAGCACCCCUUGCUCCUGGUACACCACGGAGGUCGGCAUGUAGAAUAAGCCAUCAUAUAUCGGCUGUAACUCACGUCGGAAGCACUACAGACGGUGCUGUGCGGUUGUACGUGGGGUGACAAAGAGCUUCGCAUAAGUGUUCAAAACCACGCGGCUCAAUAUCUGAUCCCUUUUAAAAAACAAACCAAAUUAUAUAAAGGAGUAAAAUACUCGACCCAU